rnacentral:rRNA from 1 species
CCUACGGGAGGCAGCAGUGAGGAAUAUUGGUCAAUGGACGAAAGUCUGAACCAGCCAUGCCGCGUGCAGGAAGACGGCCCUAUGAGUUGUCAACUUCUUUUGUACAAGGGUAAAUCUGAUUACGUGUAUUCAGCUGAAAGUACUGUACGAAUAAGGAUCGGCUAACCCCGUGCCCGCAGCCGCGGUAAUACGGAGGAUCCCAGCGUUAUCCGGAUUUAUUUGGUUUAAAGGGUGCGUAGGCGGAUUGAUAAGUUAGAGGUGAAAUGUCCGGGCUCAACUCGGGAACUGCCGCUAAUACUGUUGAUCUAGAGAGUAGAUGCGGUAGGCGGAAUGUAUGGUGUAGCGGUGAAAUGCUUAGAGAGCAUACAGAACACCGAUGGCGAAGGCAGCUUACCAAUCUAUAUCUGACGUUGAGGCACGAAAGCGUGGGGAGCAAACAGGAUUAGAUACCCGAGUAGUC